UCUGACAGGGAAGACUAAUCACCAAAGGCUCGACUAUACAAAUGUUCUGCUCCUCCUGAGUUGCAGGACGCUCUUCACUCCACUCUCCAACCUUCUCUGAGGACAUGAUGCUUCACUGCUGGAAGUUUCUUCCGCUGAACAAUUAUACGACCGCCCACAUGUCCGGCCG